rnacentral:rRNA from 1 species
UACAGAGGUCCCAAGCGUUGUUCGGAUUCACUGGGCGUAAAGGGUGCGUAGGUGGCGAGGUAAGUCGGAUGUGAAAGCUCGGAGCUCAACUCCGAAAUGGCAUUGGAAACUACCUUGCUCGAGGGUUGGAGGGGGGACUGGAAUGCUUGGUGUAGCAGUGAAAUGCGUAGAUAUCAAGCGGAACACCAGUGGCGAAGGCGAGUCCCUGGACAACUCCUGACACUGAGGCACGAAAGCGAGGGGAGCAAACAGG